AUAACAUCUUCCUUUAGGCGUAGGUUUUUAGAUGACUUACAGGGAGUGGAUUAUAUCUCGUAAAAACACACGCCAUAUUGGAUUUCCCUAACAGAUUGGGAUAUGUUAGUGAAAUACUGCUUCUUAUGAGAGAUAUGCUGUUAUACUGAAACCUCUUCAGGUGUGGUAGUGCACAAUAAGUCUCUCCUACAUGAAUGCCAGUUUGAGUAGGAUAUUUGGAACUGUGUGUGCAUACUUUGUGGCAGUAAACUCAAAUAGAAAAAGUCCUUGGUGAGAGUCAAGGUGAUAAAGGCCUUGAUGAGAUGCUUAAAAAAUUAUAUUGUAUAUAGAACAUGGACAUGACAGGGGCUCAGUUAAUUGGACAGAUGUAAUUAGUUUUAUGAAAUUUACCCUGUCACAUAUGCCAGGCCUGACAGGAUACCGAUUAGAAGGGCCAUAAAAGAGCAAGUGUUUAGGCCUGGUAAAGUGGAGGUGUAGCGUGGUGGGCCAGCUGUGCAAUGGCUGGUAGCACAGCUGUAACUCGGCUGUCAUGCAUUAUGAUGUGCCUGCUUACUCUAGCCGGACUUCCCAUCAUCUCUGCUUUGGUAGCAGGUAAGAUAUCUUGCUGUAACUCGGCUGUCACGCAUUAUGAUGUGCCUGCUUACUCUAGCUGGACUUCCCAUCGUCUCUGCUCUGGUACAGUAGCAGAGGGAGCUGCACAGUCUGCAGAAAAUCUUCCACCUAAAGUAACCGAAUGUGAAAAAUAUAACAGUACACAGUGUUCAAAUGAAGGUCCCCAGCCACCUCAUUGCUCAGGGAAGACAACAGAGACAUGUGAAGUAUGGGAGAACCCAGACAAACCAAACCAUUGCUUUGUUUUGUGGACUAAUAACUCAGGCAAGUUGGAGAUUACUUACAAGGGUUGCUGGCUGGAUGACAUUUCUUGUUCUUCUGAAUGCAUCAGUUUUGAACCAGAAAGUAGCUUAACAGAAAAGAAAAAACAUUUAUUUUGUUGCUGUAAUCACAACAACUGUAACCAUAACUUCUCUUGGCACCCAAUGGAAGAGACGCCCAGUACCCCACUUCAGAAGGCGGCACGGGAGUCUGGUAUAGCAGCUGAGAUACGACUGGCUAGCCCGGUUGGCGAGGACGCUCACAAACACUCAGGCUGCACAGUAGUGCCACGUGCAUACACCACCCCUCAAAGCCAGGAUGUUGUGGUUAAAACUGUGGCCUGGACAUUAGGCACACUCAUCUGUAUUGUGAUUGUUAUUACCUUGCUCUUCUACCUCUACCGACGGCAGAAAAUGGCUAACUUCAUGGAGUUGCCAAGAGUGGAAACAGCAGCACUAGUUCCUCCAUCACCACCAAUGGGCAUACGCCCUAUACAGCUACGGGAGAUUAAGGCACGUGGAAGAUUCGGUGCAGUUUGGAAAGCUAAUCUCUUUACAGAUGUCGUUGCAGUCAAAAUUUUUCCAAUCCAGGACAAGCAGUCUUGGUUAGUAGAAAAAGAAGUUUACUCUCUCCCUCAAAUGUCCCAUGAAAAUGUGCUGCAGUUCAUUGGGGCAGAGAAACAUGGGGAUAAUCUUCAAUCAGAAUUUUGGCUUAUUACUGCUUAUCAUGAACGAGGCUCUCUGUGUGACUACCUCAAGGCAAACUUAGUAACUUGGAAUGAACUGUGUAAAAUUGGCGAGUCAAUGGCACGGGGUCUAAUGUAUGUGCAUGAAGAGCAGCCGGCAACUAAAUGUGAAGCUCUUAAACCCUCAAUUGCCCAUCGAGAUUUCAAAAGCAAAAAUGUUUUGCUUAAAGCAGAUUUGUCUGCCUGCAUUGCUGAUUUUGGCCUAGCUUUGGUCUUCCACCCUGGACAGUCAGCUGGUGAUACGCAUGGGCAGGUUGGCACUCGACGGUAUAUGGCUCCAGAGGUAUUGGAGGGUGCAAUUAACUUCCAGCGUGAUGCCUUCCUUCGAAUUGAUAUGUAUGCCUGUGGUCUAGUGCUGUGGGAAAUUCUCUCAAGAUGUUCAAGCCAAGAUGGUCCUGUACCUGAAUACCACUUACCAUUUGAGGAAGAGGUUGGACAGCACCCUACUCUGGAUGAUAUGCAAGAGUGUGUUGUCACCCAAAAGACACGCCCUGUUAUUCGGGAUGUCUGGCGCAAGAAUGCAGCCAUGAUGGCAUUAAUUGAUACAAUGGAAGAAUGCUGGGACCACGAUGCCGAGGCUCGUCUCUCUGCUUCCUGUGUUGUAGAAAGGCUGGCCAUUUACUCAAAAAACCUACACCUUUCCCCUACCUCAAAUCCACAGAAGGAAUCGAGCAUAUAAGGCCAUUAUGUGGUGGCCAUGUACCUGGACAAGUACCUGUGCUGUAACCGCCUAUUAUGGGUCCUGGUGCGGGAGAGAGCCCAGCUACCAUGUCCCACAGGCACCAGCUGUGUUGGGGGCCUAGUGAACCGUGUGUCUGCCUCAUUACCCCCCUCCCUUCAAGAGUUUCACACAGCCAGCUUCCUGAACAUUUAGUUUCUCUUGUUACAGCAAAGAUAUGGUGCUAUUUUGCACAAUGCAGUACUUAUUGAUUGUCCGAGAACAACAAGCCUGCCUCCCCUACCCUUGGCAGAGUGUAGAUCAAGUGCCUACUUCUUGCUGCUUCUUGCCUGCUGUUUGGUUCAUUUAUCCAAGAUUGCUCAAACAGGGUACCUGUUUUCUUUGGUCUGCAUAAUGCACCUGACAGGGAGCACUCACUCGCUUUAUUUUCCCACCUCUAUCAUUACUUGCAGUCUUGGAAGGUUUUUGCAAAGGAAUUACUGUAAUUUCAUUUAGGUAUCCAUGGUGCAUUUUCUGUCAAAUGUGUAUGGAAAUCACACUGGUGAUCCAGAUUAGCAGUGGAGGCUUGGGUUUAUUGUUAGCUAGCAUAGUGAGAAUGUAAAUGAGGCAUAGGUUAAAUGUGUCAUGUGACAAAUGUAUUAAAGGGAUUAGAAUUAGUUUUGAAAUUAUGCUGCAUUGCCUGUGCUUUAAAAAUUGUCUUAAAAUAUUGGCUCAUGCUCAUACCUAUUUUUGUGUACCUGCUGAUAUUCAGUCCUGAUAAAGUACAUAUUCUUGUUGGAAGAAUAUUCCUCUCCGUUGAAUGUAACAUCCACGGUAACCUUAGUAUUAAAAAUGUUAAAUACAAAAAGGCUUUAAAAAUGCAGAGGCCACUCCCAGAUAUUUUCAAGAAUUAUAAUUUAUAUUUUGAAUUACCAAAUUAUUAAAAUAUUAUGGCAUGUAUUUUGCAACAGCAUUUUUAUAUUUAAUUUUCGUGGCAUUGUUUCCACUGUUUAAAGCUAGCAGUUAGCACAUGCCCCACAUUUUUCCCCCUCAGUAGCAGUGCUGUAUCCCCACAUGGGUUUAGCACUUCUUUUUUAAUAUAAUAAUAAUAAUUUUCCCCAGUAAAGUUUAUGGUGUACUUCAUAAACUAAUAAAGACUUUAUUAUAGGUCACAUUACCUACCUCAUUAUUUAGUAGUAGACUUUUUUUAGUAAUUCUUUUCCCUCUAAUUUGUUAAUUGUUUGAUAAUUUGAAACCAGUGCUCCAUCAACACCAGAUAAUCACCUCAAGGCAAUUUCUUAUCUUUCAUAAAACAAGUGAUUGAAAGCAACAUAUAUAGGUGAGACAAAUUACAUGUCCCAUAAUUUAUAUUAUAACAAUCCCAUACCAGGAUAACAUUUUCAGUAUGGUGGGGGUAAAGUAUCUGCAAUGAUUGUUGCUUUAGUAUCUUAAAUAACAUUACUUGAACUGUGGAUGCUUACAUAUGUAUUUAAACAGGUAAAAUUUCUUUGUUGUUGCUCUCAGGCUAGAGCACUUUAUUGUCUCAUUGCAUAUUCUUACUGGAAGAACCAUAUUUGCAAUGUAGACUGGUGAGUCUUGCUGAUAUUUGAGUGCUUAAUAACAACAUGGAGUAGUAAUUUAUAUUGGGUGCAACUGGUCUGAUUUUGACCUUGACCAAAUUAAGGGUCAUCAUAUUGAAAUUAUUGAAUAAGCCUGUAUAACUACAUUUACAACCCUGACUUGGGCAGAUAAUCCUAUACAGUAGUUGGAAUGUAUGGAAAGAGAACUAGACACAUGAUCCCAGGAAGUAUAGGUGCUGAUGCUGCUAUAGGGCUGGGCGGGCGGUGACUUGGGGUUCGCUGCCAGGGAUGUGAUCCACCUUGGUUUCCAGUGUACAAACAUUGUCCAUAGUUAUCCAAGAGACUCUGCAACCUCACAUCUAACCGUGCAAUGAAGUUUCAUUUAUAUAUAUCAAAAAUUCUUCACUUGUAUUUUUAAUUUAAUUCUCUGUUCAAUUACUCCAGUAUCUUUUAAUGGGCAU